AAGAGCGUAUGCAUAUCCGCUCCUAUGAUGGAACGAGUUAUCGGCCUUAACGAAGCCGUUAUUUGUGUAUGAACCUAAGAGUUGGGAUGGUGAAAUUUUGCUCGAUAGCAAUCGGAUUCGGGAUCAUUAAAGUCGAAGUCAUCCACACUAUCAACGCCUCUAUUUUGGUAUAAAUUUUGGUUGAACUUUGAAAUGGCAUGUAUAGGACUACCCCUUGUUGGUUUAAAAAUGUGGUGAUGUAUAUGUGUACGGCCAUGCGAAAACGGCUCGUAAAAGUGAAGAAUGAACUUAGACUAUUUGCGGUUUGUAUAUAUAUAUAUGGUGUCAUGAUGUGACUAUGAAUUGGAAA